AUUGAACGCUGGCGGCAGGCCUAACACAUGCAAGUCGAGCGGAUGAAGGGAGCUUGCUCCUGGAUUCAGCGGCGGACGGGUGAGUAAUGCCUAGGAAUCUGCCUGGUAGUGGGGGAUAACGUCCGGAAACGGGCGCUAAUACCGCAUACGUCCUGAGGGAGAAAGUGGGGGAUCUUCGGACCUCACGCUAUCAGAUGAGCCUAGGUCGGAUUAGCUAGUUGGUGGGGUAAAGGCCUACCAAGGCGACGAUCCGUAACUGGUCUGAGAGGAUGAUCAGUCACACUGGAACUGAGACACGGUCCAGACUCCUACGGGAGGCAGCAGUGGGGAAUAAUGGACAAAGGGCGAAAGCCUGAUCCAGCCAUGCCGCGUGUGUGAAGAAGGUCUUCUGAUUGUAAAGCACUUUAAGUUGGGAGGAAGGGCAGUAAGUUAAUACCUUGCUGUUUUGACGUUACCAACAGAAUAAGCACCGGCUAACUUCGUG
rnacentral:rRNA from 1 species